AGUAGAAAUUGCAUGUUGCCUAGGAUGAUUGAUUUAUUACUGUCUUUGUACUUGAUUUCGUCAUUAUUCAUUAUUUUCUUUGUCAAACAGACCCACACUCUUCUUCAUAUAAUCACCCAGUCUUGUCUCUCAGUGAACAAAGUAGCUGAUGGCUCCCAGCAUCCUACUGUGGAAACCUGUAAUGAUAGCACUUUGCAAAAAUGGCUACUAAGAAACUAUACAAGAAUGGAAAUUUUUAGAAAUAUUUUUGGGAAUUCUACUGAUUACAUUCUCUAAUGAUUUUUGGAGAGACUCACGUUGCGACAUGUUAACAGUAACCAGUGUCUCGAUGAACCUUCUGAGGAAGACAAAAUGGUGCCUACAAUGCAGGACUGUAGUGGAAGCAGAUCCCAACAGUGGCUGCUAAGAAACAUGACCUUGGGCACAUGAAGAUCAUGUCCUCCAAGCCAUGAAAGUGUCUACGCUUUUGUUUUUCCAUUAUUUCAAUUGGGGGAAAAUAUUAACUUUGCUGAAUUGAAAGUUUUAAAAAUCCUUUUAGUAUUCUAAAACACAAUUAUUUCUAAUUCGUUUCU
rnacentral:sRNA from 1 species